GCAGCCGCCGCGGGAAUACGGAGGGUGCAAGCGUUAAUCGGAAUUACUGGGCGUAAAGCGCACGCAGGCGGUCUGACAAGUCAGAUGUGAAAUCCCCGGGCUUAACCUGGGAACUGCAUUUGAAACUGUCAGGCUGGAGUCUUGUAGAGGGGGGUGGAAUUCCAGGUGUAGCGGUGAAAUGCGUAGAGAUCUGGAGGAAUACCGGUGGCGAAGGCGGCCCCCUGGACAAAGACUGACGCUCAUGCACGAAAGCGUGGGGAGCAAACAGGAUUAGAUACCCGAGUAGUCCCUGUCUCUUAUAC
rnacentral:rRNA from 1 species